UCCAUCCAUCUAUCUAUCUAUAUCUAUCUAUCUAUCUAUCUAUCUAUCUAUCUAUCUAUAUUGUCCACCCACUCAUCCAUCCAUCCAUCCAAACAUCCAUCCAUCCAUCCAUCCAUCCAUCCAUCCAUCCAUCCAUCUAUCUAUCUAUCUAUCUAUCUAUCUAUCUAUCUAUAUCCAUCCCAUCCUGCAAUUUCAACUCUUGGUGGCAAACACAAUUUGUUUUUUAAAAAACCAACAAAAUAAGAACAAUGACACAAUAAUAAGGUCUACAAGAUCUGUCGGAAACUGGAUAUGAUUUUCUUAAAGACUCUGCUCUACCUUUCUCUCUCUCCUGAGGAGCAAACACUGCUACUGUUUUCCUUCACAGCCCUCGAUUUUCUUUUCACGUUCUUAAGAACUAGCAUUAAGAAGAUUGGUUGGCUUUGAUUUCCUAGUAAGGCCAAUCUUCACAAGUCUAACUGGAAGCUCAUGCUUAGUCCUGAUAAAUAAAUAUAGCGAGAGAGUUUAAGACAGGAUGGGCCCUUUAAUUUUUUUUAGGAGAGAAUUCUACAAAGAUUCACUCCAAAAGUCUAUGGAGAUUCUCAGUCAUCCAGGUCAUGGUUGUCCCAAAGGUGCUUCCCCCCCCCACCUUUUUAAGAGGCAACUUCAAACCCAAGAAUACACUAAGGCAGAAGCUCGUCCACCCCAAAGACAAAACACCCAGACAGAAACUGAGCAACGUGAUAUAUGCAGUACAAUGCAGUGAGCCAUGGGCAGAUAAGUACAAUGGGGAAACAAAACAGCCACUUCAUAAACGCAUGGCACAACAUAGGAGAACAAACCCAUCAGGAGAAGAUUCUGCAGUCCAUCUGCAUUUAAAAGACACAGGCCACUCUUUUGAAGACAACGACAUCCAUAUUUUGGACAGAGAGGAUCGCUGGUUUGAAAGAGGGGUCAAAGAGGCCAUCUAUGUCAGAAUUGAACAGCCCUCUCUCAACAGAAGGGGGAGGGAUAUGACAUCAUCUAUCUCCAGUCUACAACACAGUCCUUUCAACAGUUCCAAGAAGGCUCCAUACCAAUUUGCACCACUCAGGUGACCCUGAGGACACAGAUAAACCUCCAGGUGACCUUAACGACCCACUAAAAGGGGUCAAAGCAAAUGACCAGCUGUCUGCAAGGAGUAAUAAAUCCUUCCAUUCCCCACCAUCCUGUCAGAGCUGAAGAAGCUUCCUUCAUGAGAAGUGAAAUGUCUUCAAAGAAAAAACAGAAACUCCAGUUGCCUCUUGGGGGGGGGAAAAAGCACCAUUCUCUCCAAAAAUUUUAGAGAUUGUCAGAUAUAAUUAGCUAACAUGGAUUCUACAACCAAUACUUUGUUUCCUGUCAAGAUAGAAGAAAGAUGUAUGUAAUUGUGUCUACUAAUGCUGCUUAAAAUGACUUUUCAACAGAGUGUAAGCUAUGCUUGAUGAAAGUCGGGAGAUGAGUAAACAGAGAUUGGAAGCUGGAGAGUUAUAACUUUAUAAUAUAACGCAGGUACCCACUCAUUGGCUUGCUUAAGAUGUUACCAUGGCAGAUUGUGUUAUGUAAAAUUACAUUAUGCCUGUUAAACCUGCUAUAUUCCUAUCUCGCACCCAUGAAAUCAUACCUUGGUCCAAGAUUUUUUAGCCUUGAUAGUAUGAGAGUUUCCUGGCAAACAAGUAAACAAGACAAACACAUCCUACUGAAAUC